rnacentral:misc_RNA from 1 species
CACCCCUCAAGUCUGACUUGAUGUUGGGCCUUGCCCCUGGGCAUGCCUAAAAAAUAGCGAUGGUACGUCAAACCACGGGCGCAUACAUGUUGCCACGUUGGGGCGAUGGACCAGUCUCGCGAUAAAUUUUCAUG